rnacentral:lncRNA from 1 species
CGGUUCAAAGCCAGGACAUCUUUGGCAUAUCCACCAGCAGCGCCUUUGGCAUGAUAGACAGGCAGCAUAUCUUGAUCCAUCGGUAGCAGAGCCACCGAGUGAAUGACCUUAACGAUCGUUUUAGAAGUAGCGCUUUACUAGCCUGACGACUCAAAGCAAGGUCGAAAUCCAUCCCUCUUUUUAAAACUGAUUAAUUAACGACUCACCAAGCAAGGGCACGUUGCGCGGUAGUAGCCAGUUCAAGGAAGUGAAACUAAGACAGGAAACUUCCUUUUUUUUUACUUUUAAGUAAGUAAGACCCUGUCCUCUUCCCUUUCGACAUCAA